rnacentral:rRNA from 1 species
AUACGUAGGGGGCAAGCGUUAUCCGGAUUUACUGGGCGUAAAGGGAGCGUAGACGGAAGGCCAAGUCUGAUGUGAAAGCCCGCGGCUCAACUGCGGGACUGCAUUGGAAACUGGUCAUCUGGAGUGCAGGAGGGGUAAGCGGAAUUCCUAGUGUAGCGGUGAAAUGCGUAGAUAUUAGGAGGAACACCGGAGGCGGAGGCGUCUUUCUGGACUGUAACUGACAUUUAGGCUCAAAAGCAUGGGGGGCAGACAGGAUUAAAUACCCGGGUAGUCCACGCCAUAAACGAUGAAUACUAGGUGUAGGGGGUAUCGACCCCCUCUGUGCCGUCGUUAACGCAUUAAGUAUUCCGCCUGGGGAGUACGGUCGCAAGGCUGAAACUCAAAUGAAUUGGCGGGG